rnacentral:rRNA from 1 species
CAAAUUGAGAGUUUGAUCCUGGCUCAGGAUGAACGCUGGCGGCGUGCCUAAUACAUGCAAGUCGAACGCUUUGUGGUUC